AUGCAUUCGUAUCUACGGCAAGAAGUGUUGGGAGUUACGCCUUUAAAGAUGUGAUGCGUGAGAAAUCGAACGCGCUUGGGACGCUCAAACUCUGUAAAAUCCC
rnacentral:sRNA from 1 species